rnacentral:rRNA from 1 species
AGCAUAUCAAUAAGCGGAGGAAAAGAAACUAACAAGGAUUCCCCUAGUAGCGGCGAGCGAACCGGGAAGAGCUCAAAUUUAAAAUCUGGCGUCUUUCAGGCGUCCGAGUUGUAAUCUACAGAAGUGUUUUCCGUGCCGGACCGUGUCCAAGUCCCUUGGAAUAGGGUAUCAAAGAGGGUGAUAAUCCCGUACUUGACACGACAACCGGUGCUCUGUGAUACAUUUUCUACGAGUCGAGUUGUUUGGGAAUGCAGCUCAAAAUGGGUGGUAAAUUCCAUCUAAAGCUAAAUAUAGGCGAGAGACCGAUAGCGAACAAGUACCGUGAGGGAAAGAUGAAAAGCACUUUGGAAAGAGAGUUAAACAGUACGUGAAAUUGUUAAAAGGGAAACGAUUGAAGUCAGUCAUGUCUAUUGGUUUCAGCUAGCUCUGCUAGUGUAUUACCUUUAGACGGGUCAACAUCAGUUUUAGACGGUGGAAAAAGGCAUGAGGAAAGUAGCAACUCCGGUUGUGUUAUAGCCUCGUGUUGCAUACACUGUCCGAGACUGAGGAAUGCAGCUCGCCUUUAUGGCCGGGGUUCGCCCACGUUCGAGCUUAGGAUGUUGACAUAAUGGCUUUAAACGACCCGUCUUGAAACACGGACCAAGGAGUCUAACAUAUCUGCGAGUG